rnacentral:lncRNA from 1 species
UGGGCGGCGGGGGCAGCCGCAGCAGUCCCGGCUCGGUGGCGGCUAGCCCGUCCGGAGGAGGCGGCCGAAGGAGGGAGCCGGCGCUCGAGGGCGUGCUCAGCAAAUACACCAACCUCCUCCAGGGCUGGCAAAGCAGGUACUUUGUGCUGGAUUUUGAGGCUGGCCUCCUGCAGUAUUUUGUGAAUGAGCAGAGCAAGCACCAGAAGCCCCGGGGAGUCCUGUCUUUGUCUGGAGCCAUCGUGUCCCUGAGCGACGAAGCUCCCCACAUGCUGGUGGUGUACUCUGCCAACGGAGAGAUGUACAAGCU